ensembl:lncRNA
AAUUAUUUUUUAUGUUCUACCUUUGGGGGAAAGAUUGAUAAUAUCCUCAUCAACAUUAGUUUACAUUUAGGCAGUGUAUUUAAAACUACAAAUAUCAAAACUAAGCUUCUUGUACUGAUGUUAACCAUAAUAAACGUUCAUACCAUCUGUCAACUGAAUUACACUUAAAGACAACUUCAUCUACCCCUACAGAAUUCUACUUAUAACAGUUACAGUGGACACUUUUAAACAGUGUUUUUCCAUCAAUUGCAUUUUGAGGUGUUUUGUUAUAAUAAAGCAUUGUUCUUUCCAAGCAAACUGCUAGACAGAAGUAAGUGGGAGAUUUGAAAGCGAGUGGUAACUUUUGAAACUUACUUAUUUGCACACCAUGUCUCUAACUGCCAAUUGACAAUAUAAUCUCUCUCUCUGAUGGUAAACUAAAUGGCACCAAAGCUGACAAUUUUUUUUAUUUGAUUAAUUAAUCCCAAAUGUAUUUAAAAAGUAAUUUGUGUUGAUAAUGUUUCAUUUUCUGUAAUUACACUACUUAAUCCCCAUAUUACAUGUCACGUGUUACUAUUUAACCCCCAGUGUCCCAGUACCCCUGUUUAGGAACUACUGUUCUAGAAGACAUGGAGACGGAAUGGGUGGCUCAGUAGAGACCUCUCAGGUUCAGACCUUCCUAAGGACACUCAACAAAUCAGCCACAGAGUACAACCAGCUCCCCUAUAUAACUCACAAUAUUUAACCUUUGAUACGUAUUGCUGUAGUCAUUAUUUUCAAUGUUUGUGCCCUGCACUGUCAAAUGCAUUGCAAGUUUGAUGAAUGAACAGUGUCCAUCACCUAAAUCCUUCCCCAAGACAGCCAAUGAGUGGCCUGGGUGUAAGUGUUGUGUGGCUCCCUGCAGGGGUCCAGACAGAGACAGAUGGAAGGCUGCAGCCAUGGGGAGGCCGGGGUCUCUUCUCAGGACCGGAUACAAACAGGACUGACUGAGAAGAGAUGAACCUAAAUAAAAGCUGGACUUCCACAGAGCUGCUCGUCCACUAACUGUCACUUCAAUAGAUAGGACGAGCAUCUAGGAUAAAAAGAAGCCAGGCUAUGCAGUAUGCUCAAUAGAGUGCUGCUGGGUAGGGUUUAAUAGCGGGAGCCGAGUUACAGAGAUUUACUGGGAUAUCCCGCCCAUACCCAAUCUCAUUUCUGAGGAUAAAUAAUGUAGAGGAACCGGUAAAUUAACCGAUAAAUUACAUUAAAUGAUUUCUAUGAACACUGCGACAUCAAAUAGAACUGUUAAAUGAUAUGCAAUAUCUAAAUCUGGCUUGUCCAUGAAUUUCUCUGCACCGCUAUCUGAACGAUCAGUCAUGAAUUCUCUGUGUAUGUGUGUGUGUUUGCGUGUGUGUCUGUGAGUGCGGGUUAUUGGCCCAUCCACAGGGGGUACCCCAAAAGAAUGAGAGAUCGUAGGACUACUGCUGAAGUGCACAGAAGAGGGGUUCUCUGGGUGGUAAAAACAGUUGCUGGUACAGUAGCAGUAAAAGAGGGGAGUCUGCGCCAUAUGUUCUCCUCCCACACAGCUGUGUCCUCCACCCCAACUCAACCUGCACCAACCAGCCGAAACCUCGGAGGUCAAGUGUUAGAGGUGCAAAGUCAAGUUCAACUUGGAUGAUCGUUGGCUGUGCUGUCAGCUAGACAGUGUCUGGGGUCCAGAGCAGAGAUUGGAGUCACCACUAAUACACACAUCUGAUUGCUAUGACUGAUGGAGUUAGUUCAGCGUGUCCAGUCUUCAAUGCGUCUCCAGUGAGCUUAAAGAAUUGCAGAGUGAACAUUGCUUCACCCCAGGCCCUCAGCCUUUUCUGCCAGAUGCUCUUUUGCUACAUGCCUGCCUGAGAAGACCCCACAUGCUUAUUUAAAGGAGAGUGAGGUCAGGAGAACAGGAGCAUACAGCCUACUGGAGGAUCAUUAAUGGAAGCCUCGCUGGACAUCUGACCUGACCCUAGUCCUACCCCUGGACCACCCCAAGCAGGUCUGUGAAGAAGGUACCUGGUAAUACCGCGACAACUAUCGCUUAGGUUCAGUCUGGCUGUGUGAGGAGGGAGGCGUUUGAACAGUCUGAGCUCCUGCCUCCUAAUGGAGGCGCGGCCAUCCUGAAAGGAAGUCUGUGUUUCUGACGACCCGGGAAUCUUAAUCCAACCCAAUAGCUUUGGAAAACCCUGGAAAUACCUGGACUUUCUAGGAGUACAUCACCAAACAUCUGAAGGUGCCCAGGCACCUGGAAAAUAUAGCUUUAGAUUGUAUGUUUAUUAUUUUAGCAUAUACCAAGAAAGAGUCCAAAGUCUGAACAGUAGCAAUAGCAUUCGGCCAUCCAUCCACCAGCACAUCACCGACAACCAACAACCUGCUGUGACAGAGAGGGGCGUGACCUUUCUGGCUGCCGGCUUCAAACGGACACUUGAAAAGCAGGGCGACUCUAACCAAGAGGCUUCCGUGCGGCGGCGACUCUAACCAAAAAAAACCAUCAGAGGCUGUGGAUGUGUGGAGGUUGUCUGGCUGAUAGAUGCUAACCCUGGGCUCUUUACUGAUGCCCCGCAGGCCCUGGCUCUGACCACAGAGAGCACAUCUCUGCACAUGUGACGGGGAAACGUGUGGCCGCUUGGCUUGGUUGACCAGGGAAGGGUGGUGGCAGCUCAUCAUACACACACACACACAUUUAUAUAUACCUACAGACUGACAAAAGCACACAUGCUGUCCUAGCCAUCUCCUAACAUUUUUGUUAAUACAGAAUAUGUAUACUUUCUAAUUUCUAUACAGAAUAUAUAUAAACUGACACGCACAUGCAUUUUCAUUUGUGGUCACACAAAUACACACACACCUUCACGUGGUAAUGGGAGGUUUUUCCUGGUGUUUUCAGUAAAGGGACUGUUGAUAGUUCCAGGAUGAGGAUUAUACAGUUCAUUAAGGGGAGAGGACUGGGUUUCCAGCAGAUAAAAUGUCAUAUCUGGUCUUUAGCUAAGUGUGUGUAUUUUUGCGCGUGCAUGUGUGGCCGUGCGAGGGUGUGGGUGUGUGCAUACAUACGCAUGCAUUUUGGCAUCCAUGUGUGUUUGAUUUUCCAUUUGAAUAAGUGUGUCUGUCUGUACGUAGGGAAUGUGGACAUGUGUGGCUCCUGGUUCAGGGGUCAGUAUUUCCAUACAGAGUGACUCUGAGAUCUGGCCUGGGUUUCAGUGUGCCACUGGCACAGCCAGAUAUUGUAGCAGCACAGAUGAAGGCUUGGAGAUGACGCUUUACUAGGAUCUGAUACCAUGACAUCGAAUUAACGUGCUGUCGUGCAACCAUGUCUAGUUGGUUGGAAACACUAAAUCCCAUAUUUAGUUGGAUCAUGAUGCCCGAUCUAGGAAAAAUAUUAAGCAUUUUUGUGUUUGCUUUUGCAUUUGUAUUUAUUCACUGGAAUCAGAGUUACUGAGGUUUAGGUUUUAUUCUGGUAAUACUGUGGCACUUAAUGUCAUGUCCUGGCAUGGCAGACCAGUGAGAUCCACUCCCUCCCUCAUUUGGAUCAAGGACACCUGUUAGUUGUUAUUGCCUCCCCAGUGUUCCUGAUCACUGGCCCUAUUUCAGCUCCUCCUUCCCCAGUGUAUCUUGUCAGCCAUUGUUUUGGAUUUCAUUCCUUGUUUCAACGUUGUUCUGUUUUUGUUUUUUUUUUGUUUAAAGAUUUG